CUGGGAUUGUUAGUGUGCCCUGUACCUCCCCAGCCUGCCAGGCAGUGCAGGGGCACCGAUCAGUGUGCAGGCCCUGAGCUACAAGGAAAGGUUAUUUACUCAAGGCUGGCCGAGGGCAGGGCUUCACCUGAAGCCAGCUGGCCUCAGCCAAGGUAAGAUUGAUGGUGCAGCUGUUGGUGGUAAGAAAAGAUCCACCUGAUUAUAGAUAAUGUCUAUCUUGUGUCUCUCUGGCUUGUAUGGGGGGGUUGAACAAAAUGUGAGCAGAUCAGAGCAGCUGACCUGAAUGAAUGUUUGUUUUUCCUCUGUUCAGCUGGGGCUUUUUCUGGGUUUAAUUUGCUCGCAGACUGCAGUACAGAGAGCAAUACCUGCAUACCCCGAGACUGGGCUCACUGCUGUCCUCCCAGCAGUGGCAGUGGAAGACAUAAACAGCACUUGCCUUGGGCAUAUAUGGUUGGGAAGAGGAUGGUUUGAUGGGAAGAAUGGCCAGUGCUUGUUCCCAGGGGCAGGAAGGGCAUUUUGGAGGACAUGCUACACAUCAGCGCUUUUGUGGAAGGUCUACAGAAGUCUUGAAACCACAGUUUUGAGAGGCAAUUAACUCCUUAACCUCAAGAUGUGCAUUGACAUGCAGCGUUGUUAAGGGUUCUCUCACUAAUCACUUCUGUGGUCGUUAAUCAGCUGACACACACAUUCCUCGACUCCAGACAGCUCCUCAGACAGCCAAAAGUAACGACCCUCCUCUAAAGCAACCUCUGCAACACAUCCUUAAUUCUUUCCAUAUUGCACAUGUUUUCUUAAUACACAAAGCUGUGGUGUACUGAGUUUGUGGAGGCAGCAUAAAAUUAGUAUAAAAACAAAUAAUACUGAAUCUACUAUGCUUAUUUUAUUACUCUGGUUGCAUUUUAUUUAUUAAAAGCCCUUUUUUUCUUUCACUUUUUUUUUCUUCACUUCAGUGAGCUAGCUGACAAAUUCCCCAGCUCUUACACUUGAUCUUUGCAGAACUUAGGGGAUUUGUUAGAAAAUUUAGUUUGAGCUUACAAACUUCUUGAGAUAGAGGGC
rnacentral:lncRNA from 1 species